rnacentral:rRNA from 1 species
UACGUAGGGACCAAGCGUUGUUCGGAUUUACUGGGCGUAAAGGGCGCGUAGGCGGCGUGGCAAGUCACUUGUGAAAUCUCUGAGCUUAACUCAGAACGGCCAAGUGAUACUGCUGUGCUAGAGUGCAGAAGGGGCAAUCGGAAUUCUGGUGUAGUGGUGAAAUGCGUAGAUAUCAAGAGGAACACCUGAGGUGAAGACGGGUUGCUGGGCUGACACUGACGCUGAGGCGCGAAAGCCAGGGGAGCAAACGGG